AUGCAUGAAUGUUCCAUGUGUACAGCACUUUCUCUGAAACUAAUAAACUUUGAACUUUUUUUUUUCUUUUUUAAGGAAACGUGGUUAUGCGGGUUGCUGAGCCAGAUGACUGGGUGUGACAAAGAUUGCUCCCAGAUAAACAAGUCAGACUUGCACUCGAUGGCACUUCAGGAGAGAGUCAUUCAUCCACCACAGAGAUACCUGAGAAAUACCAAACACUGUAUUUUAUGGCUGUAUUUUGUCAUCAGGGAAGUCAUGAAUAAUUCCUCACGGAACUUUUGGAAGAUUAUCACUAGGAAUGUCAAAUAUGGUUACUGGGGUUCGAAGAUAGUCAGAUUUAAGACCUAUUUAUUUCCAAACCCUCAGGGUGGCAGAAGAUCUGGAUGGUGUCUGAAAACUGUCAUCAUAAGAAACAGACAGCUGCCAAUAACUCCCUAUGGCCACUCUGAAGGCAGCUAUCACAUGGGCCCACCGACGUUUUCUAGUAUGUCUCACUUUGCAUUUCCUAAACACAUUUUUCCCAUUACUUGGAUUCUCAGCCUAACAGUGGUGUACGCUAAUCAGGAGUCCCUGAGGAGGAAUCAACACAGACUGGACAAAGAUUUGCUCAUGACCACCCCUUAUUUGGGUGGAGGGGCUGUCAGCCUUCCUGAACCUCAUUGUUGGCUAGGCAGCCAUGGAGCAAGGCUCCUGUAAGUGUUCUCAUUCACUCAUUCCAAAAAGAGAUAUGCAGCACUUACUACUGAUCAGACACUGUGCUGGGCGCAGUGAACAGAACAGACAGGCCUCUGCUGAGAUCCACAGGGUACAAAGGAGUCAGGCAGGUGGGGGUGGGUUAUAGUGUGAUCAAAAGGUCUUGGAACUUUCCAUCCAUUUCUUCACAGAACUUUCAAAACUAUUCCCUGAAAUGUCCACUUUCCCACCUUCUCUGUUGUCUCUUUAAAUCGGCAGGACAGAGAAACCUUCCAGCAAGCCUCACACCUGCCUUAAAGAAGGAGCAAGUGCAUCGUGAUGCUGAGUCCCCAUCAGACUAGACACGAGGCUGUGAAGACACAUCCACCCACACACUGAAGGGGAUGAGAUCCAGAACAAGGAGCAACCUUCCGCAAAAUGAGAACUUAUGGUGGUGACUCUGUAAGUAUUGGUAGAAUCGUCUGUUUUCUAUUUCUCCCAUCUUCUUGCUCUCUAGACUCUGGCUCUCUAGACCAGCAUAGCUUCUCUGUCACCUGAGUCCCCUGGACUUGACUUCUUGCCUCCUUGACCUCUAGACAUUGCCUUCAAGCCCAGCUGAGGUGCUGAAACUCAAUCUUUUCUCAUCUGCAAACUGCCCCUGCCCAGCCAGCUUGAGAGUCUGGCUCCUCCGAUGCAGAGCAGUGUGGCCAUCUGCCCAAGAUGCCAGUCAUAAUUUAAGGAAUCAGUGUGGACGCUACCUGACAUCUCCUGCCUUCCCCACCCCUCCCAGCUGGAGCCCCUAGAUGCCAUCCACCAGGAGACUCAGGCUCCUCAUUCCUCCAGGCAAUCCUGACUAAGCAGUGUCUCUCAAAGUUUAAUGUGCAAGCAGAUCAUCUGAGGUUCAGGCCAAAAUGGGUAUUCUGAUUCAUCAGGUUGGGUGAGGCCAGAGAUCCUGUAUUUCUAAGAAGUUCCCAGGCGAUGUCAAUGGUUCAUGAACUUCACUUUGAGUAGUAAGAAUGAGAAUGUGUAUAGACUAGCAACCUCAGCCUCACCUAGGGAUAGGGUCUGGAAUAUGUUGGGGUUUUUUCCCAUUUAUUAAUAAACAUUUAUUAAACACUCUAUGUGGCCA
rnacentral:lncRNA from 1 species